CGAGUAGCCUGACGGAGCAAGACCGCGUGAGGGAGGAAGGCCCUUGGGUUGUAAACCUCUUUUGUCAGGGAAGAACACAAUGACGGUACCUGACGAAUCAGCCUCGGCUAACUCCGUGCCAGCAGCCGCGGUAAUACGGAGGAGGCAAGCGUUAUCCGGAAUUAUUGGGCGUAAAGCGUCCGCAGGUGGCUAUUCAAGUCUGCCGUCAAAGACCGGGGCUUAACCCUGGAAAGGCGGUGGAAACUGAAAGGCUAGAGAGAGGUAGGGGUAGAGGGAAUUCCCAGUGUAGCGGUGAAAUGCGUAGAGAUUGGGAAGAACACCGGUGGCGAAAGCGCUCUACUGGACCUCAUCUGACACUAGAGGACGAAAGCUAGGGGAGCGAAUGGGAUUAGAU
rnacentral:rRNA from 1 species